rnacentral:rRNA from 1 species
AGACGGAGGGUGCUAACGUUGCUCGGAAUUACUGGGCGUAAAGCGCGUGUAGGCGGGUCGGAAAGCGAGAUGUGAAAGCCCUCGGCUCAACCGAGGAAGUGCAUUUCGAACUAUCGACCUUGAGUGCGGGAGAGGGUGGUAGAAUUCCCGGUGUAGAGGUGAAAUUCGUAGAUAUCGGGAGGAAUACCGGUGGCGAAGGCGACUUUCUGGACCAAUACUGACGCUGAGGCGCGAAAGCGUGGGGAGCAAACAGGAUUAGAUACCCCAGUAGUCC